GAUGAACGCUGGCGGCGUGCUUAACACAUGCAAGUCGAACGGAAAGGCCCUGCUUUUGUGGGGUGCUCGAGUGGCGAACGGGUGAGUAACACGUGAGUAACCUGCCCUUGACUUUGGGAUAACUUCAGGAAACUGGGGCUAAUACCGGAUAGGAGCUCCUGCUGCAUGGUGGGGGUUGGAAAGUUUCGGCGGUUGGGGAUGGACUCGCGGCUUAUCAGCUUGUUGGUGGGGUAGUGGCUUACCAAGGCUUUGACGGGUAGCCGGCCUGAGAGGGUGACCGGCCACAUUGGGACUGAGAUACGGCCCAGACUCCUACGGGAGGCAGCAGUGGGGAAUAUUGCACAAUGGGCGGAAGCCUGAUGCAGCAACGCCGCGUGCGGGAUGACGGCCUUCGGGUUGUAAACCGCUUUCGCCUGUGACGAAGCGUGAGUGACGGUAAUGGGUAAAGAGGCACCGGCUAACUACGUG
rnacentral:rRNA from 1 species